rnacentral:rRNA from 1 species
UACGUAGGGUGCAAGCGUUAAUCGGAAUUACUGGGCGUAAAGCGUGCGCAGGCGGUUUUGUAAGUCUGUCGUGAAAUCCCCGGGCUCAACCUGGGAAUUGCGAUGGAGACUGCAAGGCUAGAAUCUGGCAGAGGGGGGUAGAAUUCCACGUGUAGCAGUGAAAUGCGUAGAGAUGUGGAGGAACACCGAUGGCGAAGGCAGCCCCCCUGGGUCAAGAUUGACGCUCAUGCACGAAAGCGUGGGGGAGCAAACAGGG